rnacentral:tRNA from 1 species
UGCCCUCUCGUCCAAAGGCAAGACAGCGGACUCUGAAUCCGCGAAUCGAGGUUCGAGUCCUCGGGGGGCAACCA